GUUUUAAUAGUUUAAUAUAAAACAUUGGUCUUGUAAAUCAAAAAUAAGAAAAUAUUUCUUUUAAAACU
rnacentral:tRNA from 1 species